rnacentral:lncRNA from 1 species
AAAGUCCCUAAUUUAGGAAUUGUGUGUGGUCUGGAAAAAGAGUAAGGUAUGAAACUAAUUUGGGGUUUCUCCUAUCUUCCUUAGCCAAAAUUCACAUGUCGAUCUUUUAAUUAAAGAGAUGGGCUAAGUUUCUUCUCUACCAAUUUUAUUUUCUUCUAUCCUCAUCAAUAAUUGAUUGUUCUUCUCCUCGAUCAAAGCUACACGAAUGAUCUUCCAAAAUGUCACCUGUUGGGUCAUGAUAUUUCUCCUAUUUUGGGCCGGGUAUAUUGGGCCCAUUUAUCAGUUUAAUCUGUUGGGCUUUUAUAAUUAAGCCAUGGGGCUCGUUGAACCCAUUUAUUGUGUCAACUUUAUUUAAUCCUAUUGGACCGGGUCGGUUCGUUGGAUUAACCCAUUGGGUCAUUUAAUAUCUAUUACUUUGACUUGUAAUGAUGAUAUAGUAUGACAGUUGACCAAGAUAUCUGCCAUGCAUUAAUGUGGAUGGGAUUAUAGCCGGCCGACGGUGCUAACAGUGGCCAAGAGCAGUGGAUAAACUCCAUACAGUCGGUCGAACCCAUCAGAUCAGGGGGAUAUGUCAGGUGAUAGUGGGUGGCACGGUAAUCCAGGCAAAGAUAUUAUUUCUUAGUGAGUAAGUCUUCAUAAGGAGGUACGUUUUAUUCAUAUAGACACAUUCACACAACAUAUAGGGAAGAAUCGCUCUCAAUACACUAAAUUAUAUUAUCCUCUUGAGUUAACUUUGUGAACAGACAUACUUACUCUCACGCCUGAGCUAUCUCCCGGCGGUUCGGCCGUCAAGCUUGUGGUGUUUGUCGUGUUUACUGUGCAGGAUCAGGACGUCUUUCGUGAUUGGGAAGCGGAGAAAGAUCUUGGCGUUAACAUUUGGCGCUAGAAGGAGGGCUUUUUAGUGUCUUGAGUAUUUUUCAAUCACAAAGUGUGUUUUAUUCUAUUCAUUUUUCAUGGGAAAGAUUAGAACACCUACACCCGAAGGACAGCCGAUGUCUGUCAGUGAGUCAUUACCGCGAGUAUCUGCCAAGGAUCGUUUGGGACCAACCAUAAGUGUGCAUGCUAGCACGGCGUCUAAACGGUCACCUGAACAUUCUCGACCGAAGGCAGUAGGCAAAGCAAAGCGUAAGCUAGUAUACCCGACGGAGAAGGGGUCUGGCCAUGGUCGGAAACGAGUAGAAGGCACCUCGCCUAGAACUCGAUACCGAGAUGACCAGGACGCAAAAGCCUCCCGGUUGGCUAAAAUGGCGGAUGAGGCGGAUAAGGCCAUGGAAGUACUUUUAAAGCAGCGUCAAGAUAUAGCCGAGCAGAUGGCUCGGAUGGCAGAAUUGAGAGAUGAAGAGCUCAGCUAUGCCCAAUCCGAAGAGCAAGGACAUCGGAGUGGGAAAGAACCUGCUCAUUCAGGGCGACAGUCUCUGGGUCGAAAUAGGGAAAGAAGAAGGUCCCGAAGCCCUACUCCUCAGAGAUCAAAGAGGACUCGUUAUUCUGCCAAUUCUGGAGAACAGGGACGAAGCGAGAGAAGAGGUCGAUCCAGAGAUCGCACUCCAGAGCAUGCAAAGAGAGCACUUAUCAUCGCACAUUCUCACCAUAGUGCCCGAGAUCAGAGUCGAAGUGUAUCCAGAGGACAUACUCCCGAGAGUCUACUGAGGGCACCCCGCCCUGUAGACACUCGUCAUCGGAGAAGCCCCUCUAAAAUUGAAGGUUCUGUUGAAAGAAUCCGGUCUGCUUAUAAGAAGAAGGGGUCACCGGAGAAAGAGGCGUCAUCUCAACCAGAAGGCGUGGAGUAUCUGGUUAAAGAACUGAAAGAACUUCGGAAGCAGCUUGCCGAAGUCCAGAAAACCAAAGACAUUCCGGGAAAGAAGGCAUCCCCUUUUUCUGCGGAUAUUCUCAGAGAAAAAGCUGACCCCACGAAGAAGUUGCCCCAUAUAGAAAGUUAUGAUGGAUCGGGGGACCCUUACGACCAUAGUCAGGCGUUCGAUCGACUCAUGGAUUAUUAUGACUUUAGUGAUGCUGCUAAAUGUCAUACUUUUGUCACAACUCUUAGAAAGGAUGCCCGGCAGUGGAUGGGGACCUUACCUUCAGAUUCUAUCUCAUCCUGGGAAGAUAUGUGCAGUAAAUUCCAUGCACGUUUUGGGAGCAACCGAAGAAGGGGAAAGCCAACUGGUUCUUUGGCUCAGGUUCGGCAAUCCUCUAAUGAAUCUUUGGGCCAGUAUGUGAAGCGGUUCCGGGAAGCAGUCGGUCAAGUGGCGGAGCUGAAUGAUCUACAAGCGGUGGGACUGUUUCAGAACGGGCUGGAUCUGGUCAAGUCAGAGAAGUUGGUGAAAAAACUUAUGUUUAACCACCCGAAGAGUCUGGCCGAAGCCUUUGAUAAAGCUGAAGGCUAUAUCGUAGUGGAAGAAGCCAUGAGUAGCCUCAAGCGUCCUUCUUUAGAUCGGCCCAGAGAUACGGAUCGGGACAAAACUGAUGAAGACCAGAAGAAGAGUGAAGGACACAAAGACCGUCAUGAAGGCGGGUCGAAAAGGUAUAACAAUUGGAGGCAGGGUGGAGGACGUUCGUCCGCUCCACCCCAGAGAGUAAACAGGACUUUCACGGCGCUCAACGCCGAUAGGGCUGUUAUCUUAGAUCAGAUCAAAAAUCAACCUAUUUUCGAGCCACCACGAGAUAACAUCAAGCCCGGAAAGGGAAAUCCCCGCAAGUAUUGCGACUACCAUCAAGCAUCGGGAUAUGAGACGAACGAUUGUGCCAGUUUAAAAGAGUUCAUUGAGAGAAAGGUACAAGGUGGAGCUUUAGUUCAAUAUGUGGCUGCCCGAACUAAUUAGCAGCAGGACCGAGUACCUGUCCCGGCAGCUCAACCUAAUCAGCCAGCGUUUCCAGCUCCGGAUCAGCCUGCAAGGCAUGUGAUAGAUGUCAUCACUGGGGGUACUUCUGGCAAGCUCGUUGGAAAGAAGCGCUGAAGUUAUUUGGAUUCGGUCAUGUCGGUGGCGGGUACCUUCCCGAAGACUGAUAGACCUUAUCCGAAUACGGUAAUCUCUUUCACUGAUGAAGAUUACCCUUUGGAAAUUAUCGAACCUCAUAAGGGAUCAUUGGUACUUACUGCACAAGUGGGUUCGGUAGAUAUGAAAAGGAUGAUGGUAGAUAACGGAUCGUCUGUAGACAUCUUGUAUGCCCACGCUUAUCAAAGGAUGAAUUUGGAUGGGCGAAAGAUGGAAAUUGGACAGGAAGCUCCUCUUUAUGGUUUCAGCAAUGAUCCGGUUAAAGUGGCUGGAACCAUUGAGCUUCCAGUCAUAUUCGGGACGGCCCCUCAGCAGGUACAAAUUAUUUGCAAAUUUUAUGUUGUACAUGUAGAUUCUGCUUAUAAUGCUAUUUUGGGGAGGCCUACUUUAAUUGCUCUACAAGCUGUAACAUCAAUUCCUCAUUUUAAAAUCAAAUUUCCUACGGCUCAUGGGGUUGGUGAGGUCAAAGGAGAUUUGGAUCUGGCCAGGAGGUGUUACAGAAAUGCUGUUAUUUCUUCGGGAGUGGGGGUAUCGAAGCAGAAACAAGCCAUGGCGAUAGAGAUUGAACCCUUCACUGAAAGUAGCUCUGAACCAUUGGUCAUGCCAGCUGAAGAGACAGAAGAGAUAGAGCUCAUCCCAGGCAAGGAGGACAAGACAGUGAAAAUAAGUUCGGGCUUACCGGAACCUCUCCGGACGAACCUCGUAGAGCUCCUGAGGUGUUAUGUUGAUAUCUUUGCAUGGGAACCUCAGGAUAUGCCGGGAGUAAGCAGGGAUAUUUCUGAGCAUCGAUUGGAAGUAGACCCGUCAAAGAAGCCGGUUCGGCAGAAGAGGAGGAUCUUUGCACCAAAGCGUCAACGAAUCAUAGAUGAUGAAAUUGCAAAACUUUUGGCAGCUGAUUUCAUCUUCGAGAUAAACUACCCGCAGUGGAUGGCUAAUGUGGUGCUGGUCCAGAAGCAGAAUGGCAAAUGGCGAGUCUGCAUUGAUUACACUGACCUGAACAAGGCCUGUCCGAAGGAUUUCUAUCCGCUGCCCCACAUCGAUCAACUCAUUGAUGCCACUUCGGGGUAUGCUUUAUUAAGUUUUAUGGAUGCAUUCUCUGGAUAUCAUCAGAUCUCUAUGUGUAAAGAGGAUAUACCGAAGACGGCGUUCAUUACGCAUCGUUCGGUGUAUGCCUAUAAGAAAAUGACUUUCGGCCUUAUCAAUGCCGGGGCCACAUACCAGAGAAUGAUGAACCAUAUCUUCAGAUAUCAGUUGGGCAGAAAUAUUGAGGUGUAUGUGGAUGACAUGAUUGUCAAAAGCAUGUUGGUGCACAAACAUUUGGAUGACUUAGAAGAGUGCUUUCAGACCAUUCGACAUCACAACUUGAGGCUAAAUCCCACUAAAUGCACUUUCGGUCUGGGUGCUGGCAAAUUCUUGGGGUAUCUUGUCAGUCGAAGAGGAAUUGAAGCCAAUCCAGAGAAGAUUCAAGCGAUCCUGAACAUGAAGACUCCUCAGUCAUUUAAAGAUGUUCAGCGUCUGACUGGAAGGAUUGCAGCUUUGCGUAGGUUCAUGUCCAAGUCUGCUGAAAGGUGUUUGCCGUUUUUUAACACAUUGAAAGGGCCGAAGAAUGCAAAAACGUUCUAAUGGACGUCUGAGUGUGAAGACGCCUUUCAAAGCAUCAAGUCCUACUUAUCUUCGGCGCCUUUGCUGGUGAAGCCCAUUCCUGCCGAACCUUUAUAUCUGUACCUAGCAGCUAGUUCAUUGGCAAUUGGAGCGGUUUUGGUUCGUGAAGUUGGGGGUAAGCAGCACCCGGUUUAUUAUGUAAGUCAUGUCCUUCGGGAUGCCAAAACAAGGUACCCAAACAUUGAAAAGUUUGCUUUCGCUUUAAUAACUGCUAGUCGAAAGCUUAGGCAAUACUUCCAGGGUAGACUGGUAAUAGUAUACACAGAUCAGCCUCUGAAGAAGAUUAUGGGUUAGCCGGAGGUAUCGGGGAGGCUAGCUGCGUGGACGAUGGAAUUGUCCCAAUUCUUUAUUGAGUAUCAUCCCCGAACCGCCAUCAAAGGGCAAACCUUGGCUGAUUUUGUGGUCGAGUGUUCUUUCUCUGAAGCUGAUGAAGUCAUAUCCGAAGCUGGAGGAUCUGACAGAGCAGUUGCCGUUGCCGUUCUUCAACAAAAGGAGAGUUUAUGGACGCUGUAUGCAGAUGGGUCUUCUACUUUGGACGUCAGUGGAGUAGGGAUUAUCUUGACCAGUCUGGAGGGAUUCAGGGUGCAGCAAGCCAUCAGAUUUCAAUUCAAAGCGACGAACAACGAAGCUGAAUAUAAGGCAGUAUUGGUCGGUUUGCGGUUAGCAAAGAGUCUUGAAGUGCAAAGAAUAGUCAUCUUCAGUGAUUCUCAGUUAAUUGUUAAACAAUUGUCUGGAGAAUACGAAGCCCGAGGUCCGAGGAUGAUCAAGUAUUUGGCAGAAUUAAAGGAACGACUUCAGUAUUUCCAAUCGUACGAGUUACAGGGGGUCGAGCGUAACAACAAUUCUAUUGCCAAUACACUCGCCAGACUAGCCACUACGGAUGUUAAUGUUUUUGAGGGGUCGGUGUAUCUGGAAAUUUUGCAACAUCCUAGUGUUCUUCCCGAGAUGGUAAUGUGCAUUGACCGAACCAACUGCUGGUUGACGCCCUAUCUGGAAUAUUUGGCUGAUGGCGUCUUACCUUCGGAUCGGAUGCUCGCCAAGAAAAUCAAGUACAAGAGUGCCAAUUUUGUUUUGAUUGAUGGGGAUCUCUUUCGAAGGGCCUUCUCGUCUCCAUUAUUAAAAUGUUUGACUCCAUCCGAAGCUGAUUAUGCUCUCCGAGAAGUGCAUGAAGGCAUUUGUGGCGACCAUAUGGCUGCUAAGUCAUUAGCCUAUAAAGUACUUCGUCAGGGGUACUACUGGCCUACUAUCUUCAAGGAAGCAACUGAGUAUGUGAAGAGGUGCGAGAAGUGCCAGCUUAACAGUCCAAUACCGCAUCAGCCACCGGAAGAGCUAUACUCGAUCUUAUCUCCUAUACCCUUCGCUGUCUGGGGGGUUGAUAUACUGGGUCCACUACCGAAGGCAAAAGGUCAGGUCAGUUUUGUUAUAGUUGCCAUAGACUAUAUGACCAAAUGGGUAGAAGCAAAGCCACUUAGGUCAAUAACGGAACAGGAGUGUUUGAAAUUCGUGAAAGAAUCAGUGGUAUUCCGUUUUGGAAUUCCUAAGGUGGUAGUAUCGGAUAAUGGACGUCAGUUUGUGGGAUCGAAGUUUGAAGCAUUUUUGACCGAAUUGGGGAUCCAGCACAGAAAGACUUCAGUGGCUCAUCCUCAAUCAAACGGACAGGUUGAAGUAACCAACAGAACGCUGCUGAAUGGGAUCAAGCGUAGGUUGGACGAAGCUAAAGGCAGAUGGCCAGAAGAGUUGCUAAGUGUACUAUGGGCUUAUCGAACUACUCCGAGGACUACAACGGGGGAUUCACCUUUCAGACUGGCUUAUGGUACUGAUGCCUUAGUCCCAGUUGAAAUUGGAUCUCCAAGUCUUCGAGUUAGUCAUUUCCAAGAGGUCUAUAAUGAAGAAGGGCUGAGGGCCAAUCUUGAUUUGUUGGAAGAAGUCAGAGAAAUAGCCUUAAUCAAAUUGGCGGCCUAUCAACGAAGAGUGGCUAAGCAUUAUAAUAAGGGGGUGAAGCUUCGCAGAUUUGAAGUGGGAGAUUUUGUCCUUAGAGAAGUCGAAGCAUCUACGCCUCAGAACCUGGGUAAGCUGAUGCCAAAUUGGGAAGGACCCUACGAAAUCACUGAAGUUCCGAAGCCAGGGACUUAUCGUUUGAAAGCAUUAGAUGGGUCAGUAAUUAAAAACACUUGGCAUGCUGGCAGGCUUAGAAAGUACUUUCAGUAGAUUCAGUAUCAGUACAUCAAAAGUCUGUAAAUAUUUACAUCAUCAUCAAUAAAAGAUCCUCUUUUUGUCUCAAGCAAAUUUUGUCUUUGUUGCUACUCAGUACAUUGGUGUUAGGAGGUUCGGGAGGACUUGCUGACCAUUCGAUGGUAGCCUUUUUGGCAGGAGGUCACUAUUUGGCAUUGUCAGGCCCUUCGGGGUAGGCAAUUGUCGUCACUAUUUGGCAUUGUCAGGCCCUUUGGGGUAGGCAAUUGUCGCCACUUAGACCUUGUCAGGCCCUUCGGGGUAGGCAAGUGUCAUCUUUAAGACAUUGUCAGGCCCUUCGUGGUAGGCAAUGAUCGACACUUUAAACUUCGUCAGGCCCUUCAUGGUAGGCGAAUGUUAUCUUAUAGUUCUGUUAGGCCUUUCGGGGUAAACAAGCUCCUAAUAAAGCAGAUGUCUCGCACUUCGGUAACUUGAUAAGUAUCCCUUUACUUUAUUACCUGAGUUUUUUCUAAGUGUUGAGUUCGGAAUGCCUCGUUCUUUAAACUCAUUUCAUCUGUUAUAUGACAUAAUUAAUUAUUUGAAGUUAAAUCCUUGAAGGGGUUUUUUGUACACUUGUCCAUAUAAAUUCAUAUUGAAGUAUUGACAUAAAAUAAAAGUGCACUGAAGACAUAAGGAAGGAAAUCAUUUUUCAUUAAUGUCUGGUUCAUUUACAAAUAAGGAAAUAACAUAAAAUUUUUACAAAUAUUCAUAAUAAGACCGAAGACAAUCCAUAAGCUGGUGCUUCAUGCAGCGCCAUCAUCAUCCGAAGAAUCUAGCAGGUACGGAUCUAAGUUAGCCUUGAUCAGCUUUUCUUUGCCAAGACUUCGGCAGAGCUCGUAGCUUUCUUUGUGAAUCCUCAUGAUUUCUCCGUUUAUUUCGUCCGAGUUCCUAUACUCUUCACAAAUUUCUUUGUGAAGAGCAUCAGUCAAAGGAGGCCCAAGGUCCCGAAGAGCCUUGAGUUCUCGGAUUUCUUGUUCGAGCUGUAGCCGAAUAUUCUUCUGACGGGUUUCUUCCCGCUCCAGCUUAUGGAUCGUCUUGGUCAGGAUCUUAGCGUCAGCCUUCAGCUCCUUGAUCUUAUUCAUCCUCAGUUCACUCCUCUGAACUAAGUCGACAUUCAUGUUGACAAUUUCAGCAUGCUGAGCCUUAGUCGACUUUAGUUCUUCNNNNNNNNNNNNNNNNNNNNNNNNNNNNNNNNNNNNNNNNNNNNNNNNNNNNNNNNNNNNNNNNNNNNNNNNNNNNNNNNNNNNNNNNNNNNNNNNNNNNNNNNNNNNNNNNNNNNNNNNNNNNNNNNNNNNNNNNNNNNNNNNNNNNNNNNNNNNNNNNNNNNNNNNNNNNNNNNNNNNNNNNNNNNNNNNNNNNNNNNNNNNNNNNNNNNNNNNNNNNNNNNNNNNNNNNNNNNNNNNNNNNNNNNNNNNNNNNNNNNNNNNNNNNNNNNNNNNNNNNNNNNNNNNNNNNNNNNNNNNNNNNNNNNNNNNNNNNNNNNNNNNNNNNNNNNNNNNNNNNNNNNNNNNNNNNNNNNNNNNNNNNNNNNNNNNNNNNNNNNNNNNNNNNNNNNNNNNNNNNNNNNNNNNNNNNNNNNNNNNNNNNNNNNNNNNNNNNNNNNNNNNNNNNNNNNNNNNNNNNNNNNNNNNNNNNNCUAGAGCUGCUGCCGUAUAUUCAGUUGAUGCUUUUCAUCCCGCUCCAUCUUAUGGAUCGUCUUGUUCAAGAUUUUGGCCUUGGACUUCAACUCCUUGAUCUUAUUCAUCCUCAGUUCACUCCUCUGAACUAAGUCGACAUUCAUGUUGACAAUUUCAGCAUGCUGAGCCUUAGUCGACUUUAGUUCUUCCUUGGAGGCCUUCACUUCUUCCUUAGCUUGGGCCAACUCUUUCUGAAGACCUUCGUUAGUAUGAAGAAGGCCUUCACGGUGAGUCCUUUCCCGAGCCAGGGCAGAUUUUAGGAGGGAAUUUUCCUUCCUCAACGCCUCCUCCUCGGAUUCAGCUUCGAGAGAUCUGGGACGCAGACGCCCGAAUACAGCAUUUGCCUGUACAUGUUCAGUGUUAUUCAAUCAGUUUCGGAUGUAUGAGUAUGAAAAUAAGUAAGCAAAGGAAGGAAAGAGUCAUUUACCUUAGCCAAGUAGCUCAUGCCUUCGCUGAGCAAGUCCCCAUUCGAACUGUUCCCGAACCGAUGGUCAUCGGUCUCGCGAACGAAGGCCUCGAACAGUUGAAAGGGGAAAUUGGCGUUGAACCAAGGCCACAUGGUCGGUGGACCCAUGGCAUCAUGCUGAAAUUCGGAGGUCAUCGGUCCUUGAGGAGGAGGCAUAGGCUGACUGCGAACCGGUGAAGGAUCCGCAUGUAUUGCCUCUGGAGAAGGUGAUCGAGCUGGUAUCGGCUCGGGAGUUGAAGAAGGUUCAGAGGUCGAACCGGGCUGGCUGUCCGAAGGCUGUUUUCUUUUUCGGGACAAAGAAGGGUCGGCUUCGACCAGCUCGGCGUCAGGUGUUUGGGUUUCAUUUGAAGGAUUGGUUAUUGAAGGUGGAGGGACGCGGAGUUCGUCGGCGGUAAGGGGAAUUAUUCUGGUUCUUAAUUUUUUAGCACGAAGGACUUUCGCCCGAUCGUGUGGAGGAAUGUCAAGAAGACUCCUCUUUUUUGGGGUUGGUUCAGAAGUUGUUGGGGUUGGUUCAGAGGUUGUUGUCGUGGGUUCGGUUGGAGGAAUUGGUUGUGGGUUUACCUCAGGAAGGACCUCCUCGUCGCUUUCAGGGUUUAUCUCGCGAGGAGUCCUGGCCUUUUUGGCAGCCUUCUUCCUUCGGCGAGGUCGGAGGACCUCUUCGGGGAUGAUGGGAUCGUCAGCUUCAGGGUCGUCAUCCCGAAGAGGGGUUGUUGUUGGUUCGGAGGCAGGGGGUUCGGUUCGGGAAGGCUCCUCAUUAGGGAGUUCUUCAUUUGCAUCAGUAAUCCUCCCCGCCAAGAAAUCUUCCAAGUCUUUUACUUCCGAGGAAGUUGGUUUGAUCAAAGACACUGCAAAUAAUCACAAGUUAGAAUCCAUACCACAUAAAUAUUUCAAAAAUUAUAUCACAGAAUGGUCCGAGACUCACAUUUAUGGUCAUACAGCCAAGCUUGCUUGGUCAGUAGAGUGAAGCUCCACUCUUGAGGAGGGAUCCUCUUCAGGAAGUCACCCAUCUCCCUCACACGCUCCUCGGGGAUGUCACCAAAGUCAGCAGAGACACGCUCUAAAAUGGUCCAAUCAGGAAGGGAGGAUAUCCCAGGACCAGUGACGAAUAACCAUUUCUCGUGCCAUCCUUUGUUGCUCGAGGGGGUGCUCAUCAGGGGCCUCUUCUCGAAUUUCGAGUUUGGGCGUGGGGACUGUUUGCUCAGCAUUUUGAACCCUCGUUCUCGGGAUCUGCCAGCCGAGAAGAGGGUGAAGAAGAGAUCAACAGAGGGGGUAACCCCUAAUUCAUGGCAGAAGGCGAUGAACGCCAGUAUAUGGAUAUAGGAGUUGGGCACCAGUUGUGCGAAGCCUACUCCAAUAAACCCUAAGAGGGUAACUAUGAAGGCGUGGAGGGGUAGGCGAAUCCCCUUUUCCAGCAGAGUAGUCGGCAUAGCGACCCAGCCGUCUGGUCGCUGGUACAUUCGCUCCUCAGCAGCUGGAGCCCUCAUAGCAAAGUUAUCCGGAACAUGAUAUCGAAUCCGGAGAGCUCGCAGUUCAGAUUCAGAGACGGUGGAGGUGAUGUUAGCAUGAGGAAAUUGUUCCCCAUCUUUGAAGAAAUCAGUUGGAGAUGGUGGAUUGGCACUUGAACCCUCUUGGUUAGGGUUUGAACGAGAAGAACUUGAAGGGGUUUGGCUUGGAUUCACCAUUGUUGAGUUUGCGAAAGCUAAAGAGAGGUUUUUCUGAGAGAAGGAAGAAAGCUCAAAGGUUCGAAUUUCAAAUCAGUAGGUAAAACCGUCAAUUUUGGUGAGGUUUAUCUUUUAUACUGACGGUUACACGUGGAGCGAGGCCGGCGCAUUUAAUGUCAGUAAUAAUGAGAAUUAAAGUGGAAUGCGUUUGGAUGACCUUUGAAUAUCUUAUCAGAUUGGGCCUGACUGUUGGAUUUCUAUCUUAUUGGCCCAUCCUGUUCAAAUUCAAAUCCUUUAUCAGAUUGGGCUUAUUGCUCUGGGUAUCCACUAUCCAGCCCUCCCUUAUUCCACUUCGUAUGUUAAAAGUGGGUAUGAUUCACUUAUUUCCUAUCCUUGGGCCUUUAUUGAAUUCUAAAUAUCAUGAAUCAUAUAUAGUUUUCCAUUAAACAUCCUGUUUAACUAAAAAACUAGGAGGUAAUGUUGGGUCAUGAUAUUUCUCCUAUUUUGGGCCGGGUAUAUUGGGCCCAUUUAUCAAUUUAAUCUGUUGGGCUUUUAUAAUUAAGCCAUGGGGCUCGUUGAACCCAUUUAUUGUGUCAACUUUAUUUAAUCCUAUUGGACUGGGUCGGUUCGUUGGAUUAACCCAUUAGGUCAUUUAAUAUCUAUUACUUUAACUUGUAAUGAUGAUAUAGUAUGACAGUUGACCAAGAUAUCUGUCAUGCAUUAAUGUGGAUGAGAUUAUAGCCGGCCGGCGGUGCAAACAAUGGCCAAGAGCAGUGGAUAAACUCCAUGCAGUCGGUCGAACCCAUCAGAUCAGGGGAUAUGUCAGGUGAUAGUGGGUGGCACGGUAAUCCAAGCAAAGAUAUUAUUUCUUAGUGAGUAAGUCUUCAUAAGGAGGUACGUUUUAUUCAUAUAGACACAUUCACACAACAUAUAGGGAAGAAUCGCUCUCAAUACACUAAAUUCUAUUAUCCUCUUGAGUUAACUUUGUGAACAGACAUACUUACUCUCACGCCUGAGUUAUCUCCCGGCGUUUCGGCCGUCAAAUUUGUGGUGUUUGUCGUGUUUACUGUGCAGGAUCAGGACGUCUUUCGUGAUUGGGACGCGGAGAAACAUCUUGGCGUUAACAUCACCUAUAACAUCCCCGUCAUCAUCUGGCUUAUUGAAUCCCACCCUUGCCACCAUCCUCUCGUCUUCGUUAACUCGACCCGGGACAUGAUCAUCAUCAAGCGC